GUUUUAUGCUACAAACCCUUUAUCUGACAUCAUUGAGAAAUAGCAAACUUGUGAUUCAAAUAUGGACAACUUUGUGGAAAGUUCAAGCAUAUUGAAAACGGAAAAGCUUUUCUAAAAGCUUAGAAACGAUUUAUGACGUAGCUCUUUGACAUGCAGAUAGAAUCAAGAGAAAGUAGAAACCUAUUUUACAUUAGGCAAAUAAUUAAUGUGGUACAAAAGGAACUUGCUCAGUUUUUCAUUAAACAAUGGAACUCUCGUUACAAAUCAACUGAUGGAGAAUGGGAUGAUACACACAACAGUGGUAACAAAUUUUACAAAUUGGAAUCACAAAGAAAAAUAGACCAAAAAACACGACAAAAAUA